rnacentral:rRNA from 1 species
GACGAACGCUGGCGGCGUGCUUAACACAUGCAAGUCGAACGGUGAAGCGAGUGCUUGCACUCGUGGAUCAGUGGCGAACGGGUGAGUAACACGUGAGUAACCUGCCCAUCACUCUGGGAUAAGCACUGGAAACGGUGUCUAAUACUGGAUACGACCAACCCUUGCAUGGGGUGUUGGUGGAAAGAUUUAUCGGUGAUGGAUGGACUCGCGGCCUAUCAGCUUGUUGGCGGGGUAAUGGCCCACCAAGGCGACGACGGGUAGCCGGCCUGAGAGGGUGACCGGCCACACUGGGACUGAGACACGGCCCAGACUCCUACGGGAGGCAGCAGUGGGGAAUAUUGCACAAUGGGCGAAAGCCGGAUGCAGCGACGCCGCGUGAGGGAUGACGGCCUUCGGGUUGUAAACCUCUUUCAGCAGGGAAGAAGCGAAAGUGACGGUACCUGCAGAAGAAGCACCGGCUAACUACGU